rnacentral:tRNA from 1 species
ACUUAAAUAAUUUAAAUAAAAUAUUGAUUUGUGGUAUCAAAAAUGUGAUAUGUUCAUUUUAGGUC